rnacentral:rRNA from 1 species
AUUGAACGCUGGCGGCAUGCUUUACACAUGCAAGUCGAACGGUAACAGGCCGCAAGGUGCUGACGAGUGGCGAACGGGUGAGUAAUGCAUCGGAACGUGCCCAGUCGUGGGGGAUAACGCAGCGAAAGCUGUGCUAAUACCGCAUACGAUCGAUGGAUGAAAGCGGGGGACCGUAAGGCCUCGCGCGAUUGGCGCGGCCGAUGUCAGAUUAGGUAGUUGGUGGGGUAAAGGCUCACCAAGCCAACGAUCUGUAGCUGGUCUGAGAGGACGACCAGCCACACUGGGACUGAGACACGGCCCAGACUCCUACGGGAGGCAGCAGUGGGGAAUUUUGGACAAUGGGCGCAAGCCUGAUCCAGCAAUGCCGCGUGCAGGAAGAAGGCCUUCGGGUUGUAAACUGCUUUUGUACGGAACGAAAAGGUUUGGGUUAAUACCCUGGGCCGAUGACGGUACCGUAAGAAUAAGCACCGGCUAACUACGUGCCAGCCGCCGCAGUAA